rnacentral:lncRNA from 1 species
AAAUAUGUAAUUGGUAAUAUAAGCAAAAAUGAACAUGACACAAAAUAUUACCUUCUUAUGUAAUAGUACAUAAACAAUUUUUUUUUUCAUUUUUUUUACACAUCUCGGUUAAGGUUAAUUACAUUUCCUGAUUGAUGCAAUUGAUGUGAUGCAUAUUCUAUAUGAAAUUAUCUGUUACCAAAAUAAUAUGUGUGAUACUUAUUGGAAAAGCCAUAAUAUUUUUGUUUUUCAUAUUAUUUUUUUUUUAGAGAGAAUGGUAGCAAAUAACCUCGCUUCACUCAAAUUUUUUUUUAACUUUAGAAAUAAAAAUAAUUAGAAAUGUAAAGCAAUAAAGUUUUGACCUUAAAAUCUCUAAGUAUCCAAUAAUAAAAAAAAAUCCUUAGCCAGGAAUGCUAGGAUUUAGGGUUUAGAUUUUAGGGUUAGGGUUUUGAAUUUUUAGGGUUUAGGGUUUAGGGUUUAGGAUUUGGGCCUAUAAGUGGUCGGCAAAUCGAAGCUAGACUUGAUCUCACCCGUUAAUGGAAAGUGUACUUAGUAAAACGUGCGGGUCCAUUUAGUUAAGACCGGUUCUCCUUCCAUCUCCUAUAACCCAACAACCUCUCGGCCGAUGAUCUACUUUAGCGCACAACCUUUUCUUUCUCUAAACCCUAAACUAUUGACAAUUUUUUAAAUAGACCAUUUAAUUUUUUUUAUUUU